rnacentral:rRNA from 1 species
AAAGAUUAAGCCAUGCAUGUCUAAGUAUAAACAAAUUUGUACUGUGAAACUGCGAAUGGCUCAUUAAAUCAGUUAUAGUUUAUUUGAUGUUACCUUGCUACUUGGAUAACUGUGGUAAUUCUAGAGCUAAUACAUGCAAUCAAGCCCUGACUUCCGGAAUGGGUGUAUUUAUUAGAUAAAAAACCAGCGCGGCUCGCCGCUCCCUUGGUGAUUCAUAAUAACUUCUCGAAUCGCAUGGCCUUGUGCCGGCGAUGCUUCAUUCAAAUAUCUGCCCUAUCAACUUUCGAUGGUUGGAUAGAGGCCUACCAUGGUUU